AUUGAACGCUGGCGGCAGGCCUAACACAUGCAAGUCGAGCGGAUGAGGAAAGCUUGCUUUUCGAUUCAGCGGCGGACGGGUGAGUAAUGCCUAGGAAUCUGCCUGUUAGUGGGGGAUAACUUGGGGAAACUCGGGCUAAUACCGCAUACGUCCUACGGGAGAAAGUGGGGGAUCUUCGGACCUCACGCUAACAGAUGAGCCUAGGUCGGAUUAGCUAGUAGGUGAGGUAAUGGCUCACCUAGGCGACGAUCCGUAACUGGUCUGAGAGGAUGAUCAGUCACACUGGAACUGAGACACGGUCCAGACUCCUACGGGAGGCAGCAGUGGGGAAUAUUGGACAAUGGGCGAAAGCCUGAUCCAGCCAUGCCGCGUGUGUGAAGAAGGUCUUCGGAUUGUAAAGCACUUUAAGUUGGGAGGAAGGGUAUUCACCUAAUACGUGGGUACUUUGACGUUACCAACAGAAUAAGCACCGGCUAACUCUGUGCCAGCCGCCGCAGUAAAAC
rnacentral:rRNA from 1 species